ACAAGAUGAGAGGGAGAGAGAGACAACUAGUGAUCAAGAUGAGAGGGAGAGAGAGACAACUAGUGAACAAGAUGAGAGGGAGAGAGAGACAACUAGUGAACAAGAUGAGAGGGGGAGAGAGACCACUAGUGAACAAGAUGAGAGGGGGACAGCGGGGAGAGAGAAUGGCUUUCAAUUUGAGCUUGCAUUGGUUUUACUUCAUGCCAUGUAUGGUGGCCUGCCGGGGUCUCAACAAACACGGGCACAUUUUCCGUGUACACGGGCAGAACAGAGCUUGACAGAAUGGAAACAAGAUCAUAGAAUAAGUGUGUUCUUCAUCCAUCCCGAUUGUCCGUGUCAUUACUAGCACCUUUGGGCCCUCACUUCAGUGUACCUAACAGGCCCUCCUCUUGUCUCCCUCGUGCCUCCAAACCCCCAGCCCCCCCCCCCCACACUUCCAGCUCCCAGAACGCACCCUCUUGUCAGUUGGGGGAAUCGCGGGCCAUGCUGAAUUCAUUACGGCGGUAGUCACACACAUAACCGUGGAUACAAUUUCAAUAACUGCAGGCCACAGUUGAGUAAACAGUUACGCUGAAACCUAAUUCCUGUUGACUUUUCCCUUCAGUUCCUCGCCAGGGGCGCGUUCUGAUUCGUUCCGCAGAGACACCAGGGGUUUAGAGAGCUGAUGAAUGUGAUGCGGGCGAGAGACACCGGGAGAGAGAGGGGUGGGAGUGGGAGAGGGGUGGUGAGGAGUGGCUGCCAGGGGCAUGGCCGUGCAGUUGACUAUUUGCGUUUGAUUUUAGUCAUCUAGAAGACCUUUUUCUUGCUCAAGGAUUGACCACAGGUAGACAUCCUUACCGAAAGAUAUUUCUGCACCCAAUGAAGCCAGGGGGCAAAGGGACGACAAACAAGCCAAACCAACAAGGGAGCACCUUCCCUGAAGGUGGGAGGCAGUUGUGCACCUUGGGGCUUCCUGGUGGUUCGGUUGUACUCCAGGAUCUCUGUGGCUUCAAACAGAAGUGGGGGAAACAAACACAUUGUGGCUUUUCCUUUCUUCUUAAAUCCUGGUAAACACGGUUUGGUGUGUCGCUGGUACUUCCCAACACGGUAAAUAGCCGCUGCGUCUUAUUUUUAUGCCCUCCCUAACAAAUCCGAGGGGGUUUAAUUUCUGCGGUUGCAGUAGAAACGGAGUGAGGCGUAUUAAUUGUUCUGUGUGAUAAAUGACGCGUGGCUAGAGAUGAAGGAAGAGGUGUGUCUUUUCUGUUUCUCUUCUCUUCUCUCUCUUCUCUUCUCUCUCUCUCUCUCUCUCUCUCUCUCUCUCUCUCUCUCUCUCUCAGCACUGUGCUUUGAUAGGCUACUUACCAAAGGGUGUGUUUCUGGCUAGCAGGCUGGCAGUCUCUUUUUAUUCUCCCAUUAGACUAACCCAGGAUUUUCACUCAUGCACCGUGAACCAUGUUAAUUGUCCCCAGGGCAUUAAGAUCUUCGCUCAAUUACUUGAUAACUCUUUACGUUUUUUUCUCUUCUUUUGGUGCGGUGGCAUUUCACAGUGGCUUCUUCAAAGUUUUAUUUGUGCCGCUGACACUAACACAAAUCUUACUAGUGACACCACAGGCUUCUUUUGUGUCCUUUGUUCUCCAGUAAAAAGAGAUGAAGAUGCCGCUUUCCAUUUUUUCUUAUUAUUUGAAGCUUAAAAAAGCUUAGAAAAUAGACGAAAAUCAAUCAAGAGUUUUCCCCAGACUCAAGGUGCAGAUGCAUUAGCGCUCUCCCAGAGUCCCUGGGAACAACAAACCUGGCCAUGACAUAUCAUUUAUUCUUAUUAGGGAACAUAACUAUGAAAGACAGUGCUCAUUAAUAAAGACGGGGGAUGAAAUAAUUGUAAUCUGUUUGAUCAUCUCGACGCUGACAGGGGAAUUUAUCUUGUAGACUCGUCAGAUUUAGGGGAAGUGGACCAUAAGCUUGGUUUAAGCAUCUCUAUUAGUAAGUCAAAUACUCCUUUUUAAUGAUCGACGACGGAGAGGUGGCUCUGGGUUCGCUUCCAAUGGUUCAGUCUGCAAAACACAUUACAGGGGAAAACAAAGAACCCUCUUGAGUAACCCAAACUUAUUUCUUUGUGUUGUUAACUCAGGACACACUGAAAUUCAAUUUUGUUUUUCAUUAAAAAUGGGUUUUAUGGAAUGAGUUAUAGUUUUUAGCUUCAUGACCUUCUGGCUGUUGCAUAUGUUCAGGCCUUUGUUGUUGUGACCAUAAGCUUUCUGGCUGUCAAUCGUGUUUAAAAAAUACCAACACAGUAUGAGAAUAUGCUUUUCCAAAUAAUUAGAGCCUAUUUAUUUUCCAAGGAAUUAUAACUUCAUACUAAGUCUUUUUAUUUUUUUUUACUACCUCUUUUCUUUGUUUUUCAAGUCGGUCCUCAAGAGGAAGUGCAGAUGGAAAGCAAACAACACCCAAACAAACAUGAAACGGUUGUGUUUCUGCAAUUACUUGCAGGCUUGUUUUUUCUUUGGGUUUGGUUUUAUUUUGUUUUCGUUCUUUUCUUUUUUUUGUGCAACAGGAAGUGGUGUGAAAAAGUGAGCCUCCAUGGCAACAGCUGAAAUGGUGUAAACAAACAAGAGGCCCAGGAUUGACGUUGAGGGAGUUGCGUCGGUGCGCGGCUCCCUUUUGAAGCUGUUGUCUCCGGGACAUUCAAGUCCGUGCACAUCCAUUUCUCAUGAUGUACGGUCAAUUACGAUAGCCUGUUUGUACUACCGCUCAGGUUUAAGCAUGCUGUUGAUCGCUGCGGUGCAAAAUGUGGUUGCAACCCAUGCAGCUGUGGGAUAUUAAAUAUUAAUAUCCUGUUUUUCAAAAAGGACCCCCUUUAGUUCGCAGUUUACGCCGUUCCUGAGUUUUCAGCCUUCUAAGACGAAGGCAACCCAACGAUAUCUUAAAAGCAGCCAUUAUUUUGCACAGUAACGUAUAUAUAGAGAAGGGGGAUACAAGAAAGAAAAUACAUAUAGUUUCCCUUUUUAUAUAUUCAGUUUUGCCCCUCUACCUUGGGGGGUUGCGUGCAGGAGAGAGAGCCACACAUACACAAUCACAUAAAUAAUCACACACACACAGUGGUGGCAGCAGAUAGCGCUAGCACUGCAUUGACACAGCUAGUGUUUGCAUAAUGCAGAGCUUACCAGGCCCCUCGCUGGAGCCCCUGAAGGCAGAUGAAGGUGCUCCUCAGAUGAGUCGUUUCUGGACUGGUUCCAUCCAGCUCAAGUGGUUGUAGUCGGGGUGUCAGGGGGGCGCUAGGAGAUAAGCACUGUAAACCAACACAUGCACACACACAGUGGUGACUAGGGAUGGAGAUCCAAACCCGCUUCUAUCAAGGACCCGGUUCCACUUUUUUCAAAACCCGAAAAUCAUUAACGUUUGGGCUUAUUGAUACCACUAUCGAGUGCCGUCGUUCAUUUAUUAUUUUUUUAACGUAACGUAAUAUUGUGUCCCUCGAGUCACGUCACGGCAUUUAAAUCAAAUCAAUCCAAUCACUGCAGCGUGUCCACCAAUGUUUUUGAAUGGAAUUGUAAGCAAACAGGUAUUAAGUGAAGCCUGGCAGUUAACUUUGCUCGCGGGGAUGGCUGAACGGGCGAAAAGGGCGAAAGUCAUUUAUUGUAAAGGGGGGACACAACCUCAAUGGCCAAGCACAUUAGCAUUGUGCAUCAUAUAAAGACCAAAUGCAGUACCUUUGACUGUCUCUGAGUUGAAAAGAUUCCUGUCUCCUCCUUCUCCUGUCGCACCACAGACCGGCCCGUCUUAAUCAUCCACUCAAAGUACGAGCGGUAAUCGCACACACAGACAUUAUCGCCAGUCCCGUCAGUUAAAAGUAGUAAUCCAAUUGUGAAAUCUGUGUUGUAAUCGGCAGCAUACAAGCUAGUUAUCUUAAAAAGUUAAUAAAGUUUCAGAUGUGAUGAUGUGUUAGGUUGGCUCAGUAAAACGACUGAUAGGUUAUCAGGAUUCGUUCAAAUGUAAGAGAGUAACGUUAAAUUUAGUUUUUGGUGAGAAACAUGAGUUAUACUGUAUUACUCUUGUUUCUGUAUUAAUAAUACAGUUGUAUAGUGCUCUAUUCAUUUUAGUAUAUAUAAUUAAAACUACUGAUGUCAAUAUUUAUUAUUUAUUUCUUAAUUAUUUUCCUCAUCACGAAGAACGCGGCGUAUUUCCACCAAUUAAUAAAAUUGUUUCGAUAGUGGUAUCAAUAGAGGUUCGGAUUGUUAAGGAGUAUCGAAAAUGGUAUUGAUAUCAAUAAAUAUUAAUGAUCCGUAUCCCUAGUGGUGAAUACUAACUAUUUAUUUCAUUCUUUUAACCACAGCGAUUGACCAGGAAUUCAGGUGUAUCCCAUCAAUGAGCCGGUAGGGGGUUGCUGAAGACAUUGAGCAGACAUUGGGGAUCUAACCCAGAUCUUUUUGGCUGGGAGGGGAACACCCAGCCUAGGGAAACGGGCAAACUAUCCUGACGCUGCCGUUGUAAUAGGAGGGACUCAUAGUUUGAGUUGAUGAUGCAAGAAAGACCAACGGCAAGGUGCCACACCAAAUCUGCUACUUCAAUUUUUCAUGUUAUGGACUGAUGAGCCUCAUCUUUCACCCAUUGAUAUAGCUGGAAUGAAACUAUAAAAUAAACACACAGUUUGAGUCUAUUCAAAUUCAUGUCCACACUAAAUCGGUAAGCCGGCAGACCUAUGCUGAUGGCUGUUAUCCAUUCGUUUUGAACUCGUGGUCGGACGUCUUCCUCCAACCUCCCAGUGAGCAAGAGGUCUCAGAGGUCUACAGCAUCAGGGCAGGGAGGGUUGCAGUGUAGAGCCCUCUCCGGUCUGGUCAGGUGGGAGCCCUCCAUGCCAGGACGCUAGGGGUGGGAGUGGAGUGGGGUGGUAUGGUGGGUUCAUGGUUCAAGUCGAUGGAGGGGGUUACUCAUUCUAGUUGACGCCACGCCAGCUCUCUGUGUGAUGAUGGGUUCUGGGGGGGGAUGGAAUGUGUAGGUUGCUGGGCUUGCAGCGUGCAGAGCCAGAACUGAAGUGUCGUGUGUCUCCACAGCUCCUAACGAUGAUGUCAGCUCUCCUCUCCGUCUGCUUUGCGUCGAAACGCUUUGAGUGCAUCGCAGUCUAAACACUUUCCUGCCCGAGGGCUUGCAGUGGCAUGUGUAUGUGCGUGCACACAUUUGUGCCGAUGUAACAGCAUGAAGCAUAUCCUGUGGCAUAUGCAUGUAUGGGUAUUUGAGUCACAGAUAUACCAUAUCAAUGGCUCACACAACCAAAGACACGUUCUUAGGGGAUAUCUUCCAAGAAUGCGAGAAAGUCGACCAAGACCACGAGAAAGGCACGCUUUAUAUUCUGAUUCUGAUUUAUUACAUUUCUUUACUCUGAGAAAGCUUCAUUAGGCAAAUAUCAAAGCAACCUGAGAGAGGAGGAUACUGAAGAUGUGGACUCCAGUCAAAGUAGCGUCAUUCAGGGGGGGUAUGGGGUAGGAUCUCCAGGCCUUCAGGUUCCCCAGGCCUUCAGGUUCUCCAGGCCUUCAGGUUCUCCAGGCCGUCAGGUUCUGCAGGCCUUCGGCUUCUCCAGGCCUUCAGGUUCUCCAGACUGUCAGGUUCUCCAGGCCUUCAGGUUCUCCAGGCCUACAGGUUCUCUAGGCCGUCAGGUUCUACAGGCCUUCAGGUUCCCCAGGCCUUCAGGUUCUCCAGGCCUUCAGGGACUCCAGACCGUCCGGUUCCAAAGACCUUUACUUUCUCGUGCAUAAACUGUUGAUAUUGUCAGCUGGGCGGCGAGGCUUAUUGAAAAAAUGUGAUGGUGAAGGAUAACAUCGGUGUUAUGACACCGCAUAUUGCCCAAAUUGCUUUAUUGUUAAAAUGAUAGUGCUCGUCCAAUUUGAAUAAUUUCAUGGAAUCCCUCUCACAGAACAGUUUAAUUAUGUUAUCACACAACUGGUAACAUCUGUCUUUAUAGCGCACCGUGUGACAGUUUUAUUACAGGAUGGCUUUCUCUGCUGGUUCUGGGAAUUGAUGUGUGAUGUGAUUAAUAAUCACAAGAAUGGAGGUGAAAAUUGAACAAUAAUGCGCUGGUAUGUUUAAAAAUCGGGUGGGUGGGUAAUUAUUAUCAGAGGAAUAAAGAACAGCAUAUGUAACCUGAAAGUUAUGGGGAUUGUUUCCAACAAAGCCCAAUCUUCUCUCAGUUUGAGGCGCGUUGGAAGUGUUCGCUGUAAUGUACGUAUACGUGGUUCGCCUAAGUAGACGAUAUUGCAAAAAGUUUUGUGUUCUUGCCUGCAGGCUUGUUAGCAUCCGGUUUGUGUGCGGUAAAGAGAACAAGAAGAAAAAAAUGAUAAAAAACUCCAAAAUUGUCUUCCAGUCCCAUCUCGGAAUGACAUGUGCCAACAUGUGAACUCAUCCAUUUUGUUGAGUCUAUCUGCUUUUGUUUCACCGCCCGUGCCCCCCAGGAGUGAAGAGGCACCACACACACACACACACACACACACACACACACACACACACACACACACACACACACACACACACACACACACACACACACAGAGUUUAAAAUAGAGUUGAAUGUUCCAUGAGUUGACAUCCUGUUUACACACGCCCUCUUCCCUGGCCCGCUUCAUGUGGGCAGCAUGGUGGAAAGGGUGGGGGUCCACAAGGGCAUGCAAGGAGCGGUUUGACAAUGAUGUCAUCUUCUAGAGUGGCUCUUCAAACUUGUUCAUCUACACAUACACACACACACACACACACACACACACACACACACACACACACACACACACACACACACACA